AAUAUCCAAGUCUUCUAAAUCACUCUUGUUUUUAUGUCCAUGGCAGAUUCUAAGAAACUUAUUAACCAGAUUCUACAGUUGAUGAAAGAAAACGAUAUCCAGCAUAAGCAGAUGAAUUACAAAUACUGUGCUACAAAAUAUAUGGCAGUUGCUCCAAAUGGCAAUUGAUGGAAAUGUUUGCUUCCCUGCCUGGUAGGUAAGUAGAGAGAUUUAAGCUACACUUUAAUUUUAGAUUUUUCUUCAUUUGUUUUCAUUU
rnacentral:lncRNA from 12 species